GAUUAUCGUAUUUUGCUGGGGCUGAGAACAAAGACGAAAGGGUUCUUGUGCCUGAUUUGGGGUCGCUAACUAGCGUAUAUGAUAGGGCCCGUGAGUUGUUUUAUUAUUUGAAAGGAGGGCAGGUUGACUAUGGGGAAGAACACAGUAAAGCUUGUGGGCAUUCCCAAUUUGGAAGAAUUUAUGAACAAGGGCAUUAUCCAGAAUGGGAUGAACAUCACCCUAUUCAUUUUGUUGGGCAUUCGGCUGGAGCACAGGUUGUUCGAGUUUUGCAACAAAUGCUAGCUGAUAAGGCGUUUAAGUGUUAUGAGAACACUUGCGAAAACUGGGUCUUAAGCGUCACAGCAUUGUCUGGAGCAUUCAAUGGUACUACAAGAACCUACUUUGAUGGAAUGAAUCCUGAAGAUGGAAAGUCCUUGAGGCAUGUGUCUUUGCUUCAGCUUUGCCGCAUUGGAGUAAUAAUUUAUGAUUGGUUUGACAUUCCUUGGCUAAAGAACUAUUACAACUUUGGGUUUGACCAUUUCAACAUAUCCUUCAGAAAAAUUGGAAUAUGGGGUCUCAUUGAUUGCCUCUUAGGAAA
rnacentral:misc_RNA from 1 species